AUGCAAUGUUGUGUUUACACCAGAAUGAAGGUCAACAAGACGGGGUAGAGGUAAACCUGGACUUCCUUGGGGAUGUAGAUCAACAAGAGGGGGUAGAGGUACAUCCGAUGCCUUUCUCUGUUCCGGUGCCUUGCUAUUUGAAUUUCCCAUACUUACCUUUUGUUCUGAUGAGUGACCUAUCACAAAUGUAGGCCAACAUGAGAAGCUAGAGUAGAGGUCCAUUUCAAAGUAAACUUACAGGAGGACAAAGCUACCAACUGCUUACAGGAAAAGCUUGAACCUGGUCGAGCUGGGAACAUUGCUAAAGAAAAGGUGUAAUUUAGCUUUGCCUAAAAUUCAGAGAAGUUGCAUAUGUAUAAAUUGUAUGAUUCACAAGUCCGAAAACCUUCAAGUGUCUUAU
rnacentral:lncRNA from 1 species